rnacentral:rRNA from 1 species
GCCACGCAUUCGAAAAAAUCAUUAUGGCAGUUAUGAUUCCUUAGAUCGUUAACAGUUAGCUGGACAAACGUGAUAAUUCUAAAGCUAACACAUGCAAUAUAAACAGGAAUCAAUGGAACGUGCGCUUUUAUUGGACUAAAAUCAAGCGUCCUUUUUGGUCGUAUACUGAUUGAACUCUAGAGAACUUGCAGAUCCUAUGAUCUUGUAUUUACGACAGAUCGGCGAUCGGUAGUACUUAGGACUAUCAUGGUUGCAACGGGUAAGCAAGAAUUGGAAUUCGAUUCCGCAAAUGGAGCCCGAGAAACCAAUCUAAGGAAAGCAGCAGGC